ACGAUGAUGCCCAGCUUGCUGGGCGGAUUAGUGGCGAACGGGUGAGUAAUACGUGAGUAACCUGCCCUUGACUCUGGGAUAAGCCUGGGAAACUGGGUCUAAUACUGGAUACUACCUCUUACCGCAUGGUGGGUGGUGGAAAGGGUUUUACUGGUUUUGGAUGGGCUCACGGCCUAUCAGCUUGUUGGUGGGGUAAUGGCUCACCAAGGCGACGACGGGUAGCCGGCCUGAGAGGGUGACCGGCCACACUGGGACUGAGACACGGCCCAGAAUCAUACGGGAGGCAGCAGUGGGGAAUAUUGCACAAUGGGCGGAAGCCUGAUGCAGCGACGCCGCGUGAGGGAUGACGGCCUUCGGGUUGUAAACCUCUUUCAGUAGGGAAGAAGCGAGAGUGACGGUACCUGCAGAAGAAGCGCCGGCUAACUACGUGCCAGCAGCCGCGGUAAUACGUAGGGCGCAAGCGUUGUCCGGAAUUAUUGGGCGUAAAGAGCUCGUAGGCGGUUUGUCGCGUCUGCUGUGAAAGCCCGGGGCUCAACCCCGGGUCUGCAGUGGGUACGGGCAGACUAGAGUGCAGUAGGGGAGACUGGAAUUCCUGGUGUAGCGGUGAAAUGCGCAGAUAUCAGGAGGAACACCGAUGGCGAAGGCAGGUCUCUGGGCUGUUACUGACGCUGAGGAGCGAAAGCAUGGGGAGCGAACAGGAUUAGAUACCCUGGUAGUCCAUGCCGUAAACGUUGGGCACUAGGUGUGGGGGACAUUCCACGUUUUCCGCGCCGUAGCUAACGCAUUAAGUGCCCCGCCUGGGGAGUACGGCCGCAAGGCUAAAACUCAAAGGAAUUGACGGGGGCCCGCACAAGCGGCGGAGCAUGCGGAUUAAUUCGAUGCAACGCGAAGAACCUUACCAAGGCUUGACAUUCACCGGACCGCCCCAGAGAUGGGGUUUCCCUUCGGGGCUGGUGGACAGGUGGUGCAUGGUUGUCGUCAGCUCGUGUCGUGAGAUGUUGGGUUAAGUCCCGCAACGAGCGCAACCCUCGUUCUAUGUUGCCAGCACGUGAUGGUGGGGACUCAUAGGAGACUGCCGGGGUCAACUCGGAGGAAGGUGGGGAUGACGUCAAAUCAUCAUGCCCCUUAUGUCUUGGGCUUCACGCAUGCUACAAUGGCCGGUACAAAGGGUUGCGAUACUGUGAGGUGGAGCUAAUCCCAAAAAGCCGGUCUCAGUUCGGAUUGAGGUCUGCAACUCGACCUCAUGAAGUCGGAGUCGCUAGUAAUCGCAGAUCAGCAACGCUGCGGUGAAUACGUUCCCGGGCCUUGUACACACCGCCCGUCAAGUCACGAAAGUUGGUAACACCCGAAGCCGGUGGCCUAACCCCUUGUGGGAGGGAGCCGUCGAAGGUGGGACUGGC
rnacentral:rRNA from 1 species